AGAGUUUGAUCCUGGCUCAGAAUGAACGUUGGCGGCGUGGAUUAGGCAUGCAAGUCGAACGGGCCUGGUAGCAAUAUCAGGUCAGUGGCGUAAGGGUGAGUAAGGCGACGGCAACCAACCCCAUGGUUGGGCAUAGCCGCGGGAAACUGCGGGUAAUUCCCAGCGAUGUUCGUACCGGGCAUCCGGUGUGAACCAAAGUUCUGGCGCCGUGGGACGGGCCGUCGUGGUAUUAGGUAGUUGGCGGGGUAAUGGCCCACCAAGCCUCUGAUGCCUACCGGGCGUGCGAGCGUGGCCCGGCACACUGGGACUGAGACACUGCCCAGACUCCUACGGGAGGCUGCAGUCGAGAAUCUUCGGCAAUGGGCGCAAGCCUGACCGAGCGACGCCGCGUGGAGGAUGAAGGCCUUCGGGUUGUAAACUCCUGUCGAGGGGGAGGAAGGGGUAACCUUGACCUAUCCCUGGAGGAAGCACGGGCUAAGUUCGUGCCAGCAGCCGCGGUAAGACGAACCGUGCGAACGUUAUUCGGAAUCACUGGGCUUAAAGCGCGUGUAGGCGGAUGGGGACGUCGGUUGCUGAAAUCCCCCGGCUCAACCGGGGAACGGGCACCGAAACGCCCCGUCUGGAGGGACGUAGGGGGACCUGGAACUUCCGGUGGAGCGGUGAAAUGCGUUGAGAUCGGAAGGAACGCCCGUGGCGAAAGCGAGGUCCUGGACGUUUUCUGACGCUGAGACGCGAAAGCUAGGGUAGCGAACGGGAUUAGAUACCCUAGUAGUCC
rnacentral:rRNA from 1 species